GGGGUUGUGGCUCAGUGGUAGAGCACCUGCCUAGCGAGUGUGAGGCACUGGGUUUGAUUCUCAGCACCACUU
rnacentral:tRNA from 1 species